GAUGAACGCUGGCGGCGUGCCUAAUACAUGCAAGUCGAGCGAACAGAUGAGGAGCUUGCUCCUCUGACGUUAGCGGCGGACGGGUGAGUAACACGUGGAUAACCUACCUAUAAGACUGGGAUAACUUCGGGAAACCGGAGCUAAUACCGGAUAAUAUAUUGAACCGCAUGGUUCAAUAGUGAAAGACGGUUUUGCUGUCACUUAUAGAUGGAUCCGCGCCGCAUUAGCUAGUUGGUAAGGUAACGGCUUACCAAGGCAACGAUGCGUAGCCGACCUGAGAGGGUCAUCGGCCACACUGGAACUGAGACACGGUCCAGACUCCUACGGGAGGCAGCAGUAGGGAAUCUUCCGCAAUGGGCGAAAGCCUGACGGAGCAACGCCGCGUGAGUGAUGAAGGUCUUCGGAUCGUAAAACUCUGUUAUUAGGGAAGAACAAAUGUGUAAGUAACUAUGCACGUCUUGACGGUACCUAAUCAGAAAGCCACGGCUAACUACGUG
rnacentral:rRNA from 1 species